ensembl:lncRNA
AAAGUUAGAAAAUAAGAUUCAUGUGAGUUACGCUGUAAUCAAAUUUCAUGGCCCGCAGUCUUUAGACUGUUAUUGGCAAGCAUCUUUGUGAGAGAGAGACCAGAACAACUUGGAGCUUAAAUGACCUUUGCACAUAGCUCAAACUGUCUUGGAUUCAGUGAGCUACCAUCUUGCAUAACUUGUACUUUUAACUGAGAUACAGGGAUACAUUUUGUCUUGCUGCUCCGAGUAUGCUGUUGGUGCCUUAGCUAGCAAAGAUUCUGUGGGGAAAAAUGUCUUAAGUAGACAUGAAAUUCCCACUGCCUUUCUCAAACUAUUUCAAUAGGGUAGCAUAAUGCUUAUUUUUCACAUGUACAAGGUAAGAACACGAGGGUCAUAGAGUAAGUGAUUUGUCCAGUAUCAUCCAUGGUGGCAUAACUUUGUGAAUCCCUACUUUUCGAGUUGUAGACAGACCCCCCAGUAACGGAAUAGCUUUCUCCUUUGCUGCUGCUUUUCACUACCAACAGCAACACAACUGCUGCAUUUGGCCACGCUAAGGUUAUACUGUAAAGCAAGAGGAUAACUGCUCCCUUUAAUGCUUGUAACAAGUACUUUUAAUUCUGUAAACCUAGUCAAGUUAGGCCCAAUUGACAAGAUGCCAGAGACAGCUCUGGGAAUCAGAAAUCUGUCUGUGGGAGGAGGAGGUCCCUCUUCUGAAUGGGGAAAACUGGGAAUGGUCGUUGAACUGUGGAACGAGAUGUUUCCCCUCAUCUCGCCUUCCACAAUACUUGUGUUACCAUUAUUCGUGGUGUAUGCCAGUUGCUCAGUUCUGUCGUUUGACCUCUCUAUGUCUACUAGGUUGUAUCUUGGCCCUGUGGACUCUGUUCACUAUGCUGUGACUGAAUUCUGUUACUUGUGUUAUUGCACAUUGUUGUGUGUAGGCAAGAAAGUACUUGGUCAUUAAAUGUUUAAUCAUCUGAGUAAAAAACAUUCUGGAAUGGUGUUGCCCACAGUAACAAAUGAAGAACUAGUU